CAAUAGCGUAUAUUAAAGUUGUUGCAGUUAAAAAGCUCGUAGUUGGACCUUGGACCUGGACAGGCGGUCCGCCUCACGGCGUGUACUGUCUUACUGGGUCUUUCCUCUUGGUGAUCUGUUGUUUCGGCAGCAGGGAACCAGGACUUUUACUUUGAAAAAAUUAGAGUGUUCAAAGCAGGCUCGACGCCGGAAUAUAUUAGCAUGGAAUAAUAAAAUAGGACGUGCGGUUCUAUUUUGUUGGUUUUUGGAAUCGCCGUAAUGAUUAAUAGGGACAGUCGGGGGCAUUAGUACUCACAUGCUAGAGGUGAAAUUCUUGGAUUUUGUGAAGACUAACUUCUGCGAAAGCAUUUGCCAAGGAUGUUUUCAUUAA
rnacentral:rRNA from 1 species